rnacentral:lncRNA from 1 species
GUGCCUUCAAGGCUGGCUUCCUCACUUGCCUCUUUGGUGCCUUUGCUCAAACUGUUCUCCCAUACCUUUCCCCUACUCUCUCUUCAGCUCUGACACCAGGCCUUCCCCAGCGUGCCCCUGCUCCAGUCUCUCCAGAAGCAUUUGGAGCUCCAAGCCCCACAGGUGACCUGUUCCAUGGAGUUCCCACAGCCUGAGUUGACUACAGAAGCCACUCAUAAGUAACAGCUACGAACACAAUGCUGAGUAUCUGCUUUGGACUAAAGAUGAUGGUAGAACAGAACUAAGACGGAGGCCUCCUCUGCCUCAGAUGCAGUAUCUACUUGCUUCAGGACCUGGGGCUGCAGUCAGAAGCACACUCCAGCUCUGCUCCAGGCCCUCAGCUAUGACAAGAUGUCAUGAGGUCUCCUCCAGGGAUAGAGGAAACCAAAGCCCUGAACCUAAACUGCAAUUGACCCUAAGGAUGGUGAUCCCAAGGAAGUCUGGACACCAAAUUCAAGGAUUGAGGCACUCCAGAUUGGACCCAAUUCCAGUUGCCUAGGGCCAGGAAACAAGGAGGCUGGAAACCCUUCUGACUGUAGUGGGAUCUCUGAGACUGCCAAACGUGGAGUCCAGGAAUAAACCACACCCUUUGCUGACCUGCAUCACCAAUUGAAUUCACAGCUACACUGCCUUUUAUGCAAUAGGAAAAUGGUUAAACUUGGUGCCAUGAAUGUCAGAAACUUGAAUCCUGGAAACUGAAAUGAGAAUAUCUGUGAUGAGCCAGAGAUAAGGAUAUCUGUCACCUGGGUCCUUCAGACACUGUCACUGUAUGGUCUGCAUGUACCCUGGCUGGACAAGUGUGGCAGGUCUUCAAGAGACAAUUUGGCACAGAGGAAGUGAAUAAGGAGCCUAGACAGGCUGCUAAGGCCAGAAAGAGGAAGACAUGGCACUGUAUCUUGAGAAAGAGUAAAGGUUGUGGACACAGCAUACUAACAAUAAGGGCACACUUCUCUCCUUAGCUCCCCAUUGUCGUGGAAUGGCUGAGAAAUAAAAGGACUGUCAUGCUUUGAUGCCCGCACAGGUCUGGGAAGAAAUACCCCCUUGCCUUAGCAUCAGCUAGAGGAAGGACAUGCUCUGCUUUUCUGACAAGAAUGUCUAGAUACCAGAGGUAAACUUCCUGUGUGAUUCAUGUUAAAGUAUUUGUAGCAGCAGUGAACUUUCAGGCAACAAGGAUUGAGGUGGUAGCAGGUUCAGACUUUCUCCUGGAAGGGGAUAAGUUGCUACCACAGCAGAGAGGGCAAGGCUGAUUCACACCAUCUGUCAGCAAUCCUGGGGACAGAUAGAAAUAAGGGAGAAAGAGA